rnacentral:rRNA from 1 species
GAGUUUGAUCUUGGCUCAGGAGGAACGCUGGCGGCGUGCCUAACACAUGCAAGUCGAACGGAGUUCCUAAGGAAUGCGGCUUCGGCCAAAUGACUUUUGAACUUAGUGGCGGACGGGUGAGUAACGCGUGAGCAACCUGCCUUUCAGAGGGGGAUAACAUUUGGAAACAGAUGCUAAUACCGCAUAAGAUUACAGUACCGCAUGAUACAGUGAUCAAAGGAGCAAUCCGCUGAAAGAUGGGGCUCGCGUCCGAUUAGAUAGUUGGUGAGGUAACGGCGUCACCAAGUCGACGAUCGGUAGCCGGACUGAGAGGUUGAACGGCCACAUUGGGACUGAGACACGGCCCAGACGUCCUACGGGAGGCAGCAGUGGGGAACAUUGCACAAUGGGCGAAAGCCUGAUGCAGCAACGCCGCGUGAGGGAAGACGGUUUUCGGAUUGUAAACCUCUGUUUUCGGUGACGAACAAAUGACGGUAACCGAGUAGGAAGCCACGGCUAACUACGUGCCAGCAGCCGCCGUAAGA